GACGAACGCUGGCGGCGUGCUUAACACAUGCAAGUCGAACGCUGAAGCUCAGCUUUUGUUGGGUGGAUGAGUGGCGAACGGGUGAGUAACACGUGAGUAACCUGCCUCCUUCUUUGGGAUAACGCCGGAAACGGGUGCUAAUACUGGAUAUUCACUGGUCUUCGCAUGGGGGUUGGUGGAAAGGGGUUUUCUGGUGGGGGAUGGGCUCGCGGCCUAUCAGCUUGUUGGUGGGGUGAUGGCCUACCAAGGCUUUGACGGGUAGCCGGCCUGAGAGGGUGACCGGUCACAUUGGGACUGAGAUACGGCCCAGACUCCUACGGGAGGCAGCAGUGGGGAAUAUUGCACAAUGGGCGCAAGCCUGAUGCAGCGACGCCGCGUGAGGGAUGGAGGCCUUCGGGUUGUGAACCUCUUUCGCUCAUGGUCAAGCCGCAACAAUGGUUGUGGUGAGGGUAGUGGGUAAAGAAGCGCCGGCUAACUACGUG
rnacentral:rRNA from 1 species